AGAGUUUGAUCCUGGCUCAGGAUGAACGCUAGCUACAGGCUUAACACAUGCAAGUCGAGGGGAAACGACAUCGAAAGCUUGCUUUUGAUGGGCGUCGACCGGCGCACGGGUGAGUAACGCGUAUCCAACCUGCCCACCACUUGGGGAUAACCUUGCGAAAGUAAGACUAAUACCCAAUGACGUCUCUAGAAGACAUCUGAAGGAGAUUAAAGAUUUAUCGGUGAUGGAUGGGGAUGCGUCUGAUUAGCUUGGUUGGCGGGGUAACGGCCCACAAGGCGACGAUCAGUAGGGGUUCUGAGAGGAAGGUCCCCCANAUUGGAACUGGAGACACGGUACCAACUCCGUACGGGAGCA
rnacentral:rRNA from 1 species